rnacentral:lncRNA from 1 species
CCAGAAUCUUUGCUGGGAUAGUUUUUAGACCUACAUCAUUCACCCAUCAGAUACAGGACAAACAUCAACCUUCAAAAGCAGUGAGAGCCAGAGGUUGUGACAGCUGGCACAUUACUGAAUAACCUUGGCCAACAAUCAAGCAUACUGGAGACUAAUUUGGUUACUCUCCAGUUGUUUUUAUAUGUACUUUCAACAUCCUGCACUCUGUUUUUUAUAGCUAUUCUUCAGUUGGAGCGCAGAGUCUGUAGACAAGAGCAGUAUUCCGUGGCAGCAAUACAAUGAACAUGCAGCACUGUCACCAUGAGGAAGGACUUACAAGAGAAAACAGCCCAGGCCAGCUGGGAAGGCAGUCAUCUCCCACAUCAAACCUAGUCAAAUCCCAUGUCCCACCAAUGAUGACAAAGGAUUCAGGACAACCUUCUUGAAGGCACAUCAAUCAUUUUGAAUCAACAUACAAGACGAGUUCUGGAACAGCAUUUACAAAGCCACCAAGUAAAAAACCAUCCUUUUGGAUAAUCAUAUUCAUGAGGACAUCAACUCUCAGUGCUUCAAUCAGUUUCCACAUGAUCUCACAUGAGGCAUAGUCUGUAUGGAAACCAUUAGGUCACAGCCUGAACCAGUGUUUGAGAAAUACCUCUACUUGGAAAUCACCUCCUUUGGAAGUUCUUGGGCAAGCACUCGGAAAGAUUGUAAGUUAUUCCUUCUUUAUUACUGAAUUGUGAGCAAAGCUUUUCUUGGUGACCUAAAAGCUGAUCAAUAGUAGCUGUAUCUUCUGUCUUAUACAAUACAUUGCCAAAAGCAGUUCUCUCUCAUGUCUUGUAUCAUCACUAUAAUGAGUCAGCUACAGGUUGGAGGAACCCUAUAUUAUAGUAAGAGCGCAGGAGAAGGGAAAUGAAAGGACUGAGUGUGGUAAAUUCCCUUAUUCUUUCUUUGUCCAGCUGUACCUCUCCUGUUUGUCAGCCCAGGCAAGCAAGGAUUCAUAGUACCCCAUCAUUCACAGGCAAUAGUGCUCUCACUGCUCUGGCUUGAAGGCAGAAGUCCACAGCAGCUUGAAGGCAGAAGUAGAGUGAGAUUCAGUGUCUCCACUACCAUGCACAGAUCAGUGUGACUUACUGUGAACCUG